GACGAACCGAGCGAACGUUAUUCGGAAUCACUGGGCUUAAAGGGUGCGUAGGCGGGCGAGUAAGUCAGGGGUGAAAUCCCACGGCCCAACCGUGGAAGUGCCUCUGAUACUGCAAGUCUAGAGGGAAAUAGGGGCGUGCGGAACUUCCGGUGGAGCGGUGAAAUGCGUAGAUAUCGGAAGGAACACCGGUGGCGAAAGCGGCGCGCUGGAUUUCUACUGACGCUGAGGCACGAAAGCCAGGGGAGCAAACGGG
rnacentral:rRNA from 1 species